GACGAACGCUGGCGGCGUGCCUAAUACAUGCAAGUCGAGCGGAAGUUGAAGAGCUUGCUCUUCAACUUUAGCGGCGGACGGGUGAGUAACACGUGGGCAACCUGCCCUGCAGAUCGGGAUAACUCCGGGAAACCGGUGCUAAUACCGAAUAGUUUUCGCCACCUCCUGGUGGCGUACGGAAAGACGGUUUCGGCUGUCACUGCAGGAUGGGCCCGCGGCGCAUUAGCUAGUUGGUGGGGUAACGGCCCACCAAGGCGACGAUGCGUAGCCGACCGGAGAGGGGGAUCGGCCACACUGGGACUGAGACACGGCCCAGACUCCUACGGGAGGCAGCAGUAGGGAAUCUUCCGCAAUGGACGAAAGUCUGACGGAGCAACGCCGCGUGAGUGACGAAGGUUUUCGGAUCGUAAAACUCUGUUGUGAGGGAAGAACAAGUACCAACUAACUACUGGUACCUUGACGGUACCUCACCAGAAAGCCACGGCUAACUACGUGCCAGCAGCCGCCGUAAAAC
rnacentral:rRNA from 1 species